UACGACGGGGGCUAGCGUUGCUCGGAAUCACUGGGCGUAAAGGGUGCGUAGGCAGGUCUUUAAGUCAGGGGUGAAAUCCUGGAGCUCAACUCCAGAACUGCCUUUGAUACUGAGGAUCUUGAGUUCGGGAGAGGUGAGUGGAACUGCGAGUGUAGAGGUGAAAUUCGUAGAUAUUCGCAAGAACACCAGUGGCGAAGGCGGCUCACUGGCCCGAUACUGACGCUGAGGCACGAAAGCGUGGGGAGCAAACAGG
rnacentral:rRNA from 1 species